UACGUAUGGUGCAAGCGUUAUCCGGAUUUACUGGGCGUAAAGGGAGCGCAGGCGGCACGCCAAGUCUGAUGUGAAACCCCGGGGCUCAACCCCGGGCUUGCAUUGGAAACUGGCGGGCUGGAGUGCCGGAGAGGUAAGCGGAAUUCCUAGUGUAGCGGUGAAAUGCGUAGAUAUUAGGAGGAACACCAGUGGCGAAGGCGGCUUACUGGACGGCAACUGACGCUGAGGCUCGAAAGCGUGGGGAGCAAACAGG
rnacentral:rRNA from 1 species